AGCUCCAAUAGCGUAUAUUAAAGUUGUUGCAGUUAGAACGCUCGUAGUCGGAUUUCGGGGCGGGCCGACCGGUCUGCCGAUGGGUACGCACUGGUCGGCGCGUCCUUCCUUCCGGAGACCGUGCCUACUCUUAACUGAGCGGGGGCGGGAGACGGAUCGUUUACUUUGAAAAAAUCAGAGUGUUUCAAGCAGGCAGCUCGCUCUUGCAUGGAUUAGCAUGGGAUAAUGAAAUAGGACUUUGGUGCUAUUUUGUUGGUUUCGAACACCGAAGUAAUGAUUAACAGGGACAGUCAGGGGCACUCGUAUUCCGCCGAGAGAGGUGAAAUUCUCAGACCAGCGGAAGACGAACUACUGCGAAAGCAUUUGCCAGGGAUGUUUUCACUG
rnacentral:rRNA from 1 species